UACGUAGGGUGCAAGCGUUGUCCGGAAUUACUGGGCGUAAAGUGUGCGCAGGCGGCCGAGCAAGUCGAGUGUGAAAGCCCCGAGCUUAACUUGGGAACUGCGCUCGAAACUACUUGGCUAGAGUGUGGCAGAGGGAGGUGGAAUUCCACGUGUAGCGGUGAAAUGCGUAGAGAUGUGGAGGAACACCGAUGGCGAAGGCAGCCUCCUGGGCCAACACUGACGCUCAUGCACGAAAGCGUGGGGAGCAAACAGG
rnacentral:rRNA from 1 species